rnacentral:lncRNA from 1 species
UGCACUCAAUAUCCAUCUUUCCCUUGGUUCUGGAACAUUGACUACUUAACUGCUCUAGCUCCAGCAUUCUUUGCAGCUAUACCUGGCCCUUUCACUAAGCUCGGUGGGAUAAUGAAUGGAAGUGAUGCACACAUGUCAAGGUCAUCUCCAAGUGCAGAGCGAUUACUCUGUAAUCUGGCCCCCUGCCUACCUCUCUAGUGUCCUCUAUUGUACUUCCUGAAAUUUUAUACUCUAAUCAUAUCAAGUGGCUUGUUUCCUGUUGGGCUGUUAUUUUGCUUAAGAAGUUUACUCCUUUUGUUCUCUCAGUAUGAAAUACCCUUUGUCCUUUCAUUGUCUUCAAAUUUUAGAACUUCCUCUCCUCUAUCUUCCUAUCUCUGUUCCAGUCUGUGUUAGAUACCACUCCUGUGAGCUUCUACCAUACUAGGUAUAUUGAAAUUUCUUAUUCAUAUAUCUGGUUUGUCAAUUUGGCUAAAAGUCCUUGCAGAAAGCUACUGUGUUGUAUCCAUGUCUAUAGCCUUGCCAUCUAGCAAGGGGCUUGGCACUUGGUCCAUCCUUCAUCAAACUGCUUCUUGAAUGACCCUGAUAUCCAAAGCAGUCAGGUGGCAAAGGGCAUUGAAUCAACAUGAUUGGUUGAAUGCAUGUGACAAGGAGCUGAGAAGAAUAAUGCUCUCCAUGAGAAACUGGAUGUCUGCUUCACCUGGCCAUCCUGCUAUAAAGGAAAAGGAUCUUUGCUUAUACAUCUCCAUUUCUUUCUGCAUGGGGCCUCCCCGGUGGCAUCUCUCUUUCACAUACCCUAUAUCUCCCUCUCUCUCGGUCCACAUUUUCUUUAUGGGGCCUUUCUCAGAGCAUGCCGCCCUCACACUUCAAACUUGGCUACAUUAGGAAUACCUCCUUAUCACUAUUUCACAAAGUGUCACAAUUCCACUGGACCAGAGAAAGCAAUAUAAUUUUAAUUUUUUAUUUGCUUCAAGUAUAGCAGAGUGACAGGAUUGGUGAGGCAAAAUGUGAUUGAGGGCAAGGGAGAAGAAAUGUUUUGGGGAAGGAUUCCUUUUAUGGCACAAUGUCACAGUGUUGUGUCAUAAUUGUCAUUUGUUUUUAUAGCAUAUUUUUGAAUCUAAAUUCCUGGCUGACUAACUUCAGAUUGUUAGCAGUCCGUCAGGCCUUCCUGCUCACUGAGUUUAAGAGUAGAGUCUAAAGGUUGUUCUCCAUGUUCCCUUUUAGAGGCCAGGGGAGUUUUCAUCCUUUGUUUUUUAUCUUCUCAAAUAUGGCUGAUGGUUCUGAUGGUUGUUAGGAUAUUAUAAUAUCAUAUUAUUUAUGAUAGUUUAGAAUCAGAGGCACUUCUGCUUCAUCUUCACACAAUGGAGAUUGCACCAAUCUAACUUUCCUGUAUGCAGAUUUUAGCAAGAAAGCUAUUCCUUCAUGCAAAGUAUAUUUAUGGAGUGUCUUCUAAAAUUUGUGCCUUCAUUGAUGUUUGAAAGUCUUAUUUUGUUCCUCUCCUCAAUUUUUCUGUUUUCUUUCUUUUCUUUUUUCUUUUCUUCUUUCCUUUCUCUUUCUUUCUUUCUUUCUUUCUUUCUUUCUUUCUUUCUUUCUUUCUUUCUUUCUUUCUUUCCUUUCUUCCUUCCUUCCUUCCUUCCUUCCUUCUUUCCUUCCUUCCUUCUUUUUCUGACAUUUUUGUCUAACAGUUUCCAGCCCUCCCCAGAGGCCCUGCUAAACUCUCUAGAGCCUUCUUUUCUUUUCCUCAUAAGGGGGUCCUUGAUGGAGAACACGGAUGCUUCUUCCUUCCAUUCAAGAUCCGUGUUAACUCUUAGGGUUUGAGGUUUGACUUUCGAAGACAUGAGGCCUAACAGGGCCUCCAACACUGACCGGGCUCUGAGCCUACAGAGAACGUUUCUGUCUUUCCUGUAUGCCCUGAGAUAAAACUCCCUCUGUCUUUUUAUUCCAUUGCCUUCCCUCUUGUGUGGAUCUGUAAUGAUUGCUGGAGUGCUGGGAAUUCAUGCUAAUAAUGAGUUCUCGAGAGCGACUUUCUCUUUUUUUCCCUCCUUUUUUCUUUCUUUCUUUUUUUUCUUUUUUUGUCCUCAAGUGGUUAGCUCUGAAAAGAAUAAUUUAUCAAAUCAUUUUUAUUCAACUUUGGAGGGAGAAGAAAGAGGAAAAGGAGGGAGAAAAGCCCUUUUGCAGUUUUAAUUGCUUUGCAGUGUCUGCAGGAGGCUCUCUGCUCAGCUUAUCAAAGCUCACACAGCCAGGCCCUGUGCCUCUGGCUCCGCACAGCCUCGGCGGAGCGGCUGGGCUCCACUGAUGGACCUGAUAUGGCCUCAGCUAUCUGAUGACUUCGGUGCUUAGCAGGUUAAUUCAAGUGAUGAAUUGAAAAUUUGGGGAGGGUAGGAGGAAAGGGAUAGAGGCUGUUUUUAGGAUUUUUAAAAUUGAGAUGAAAAAAAUGAAGUCUUGUCCCUCCCUUUCUGCUUUCUAGGAUUUGAUAAAUUUGUAUUUUUAAUGGGGAAAUAAAGUUUUCAUUAGGGCUAAGAUCAUAUUAGAGUGUAUUGAUUGAUUUACCACUAUCUCCACCACUCAGGAAUAUCUCUGCAAUGUAGGUCUCACUGAAGAAGCCAAAAAUUCAAGGGGACAUUAAAACUUGCAGAAGAGAAGGCUGAGGCACAGUACAGUAUUCCAGUGAAGACAAUGUAAUAGGUUGUUUUAAGGGGACGUUGACAAGAUGGUCACAAUCUCUAAGAAGGUAGAAGAGACCAUGUAAUCAAGUUCUCUGUGAGAAAUAGAUGAGCUGUUGUUAAAGCCUUAUAAAAACAAAUGUUUUAAAGCUGGUGGUUACCACGGAGUUGCCAUUGUGGCUCAGCAGAUUACGAACCCGACUAGUAUGCAUGAAGAUGAGGGUUUGAUCCCUGGCCUCGUUGGUGGGUUAAGGAUCCAGCAUUGCUGUGAGCUGUGAUGUAGGUCACAGAUGCAGCUCGGAUCUAGGCAUUGCUGUGGGCAUUGCUGGGCAUUGCUGUGGUGUAGGCUGGCAGCUGCAGCUCCAGUUCAACCCCUGGCAUGGAAACUUCCAUAUGCCAUGGGUGCAGCCCUAAAAAGAAAAAAAAAUAAGAAAUUAAUAAAACUGGUGGUUACAAGUGGGGAGAGGGAGAGGGAGGGGCAAGAUAAGGGUAGGGGAGUAAGACACACAAACUAUUAGGUCUAAGAUAAGCUACCAGGAUAUAUUGUACAACAUGGGGAGUAUAGCCAAUAUUUUAUAACUAUAAAUGGAGUAUAACCUUUAAAAAUUGUGAAUCUCUAUACUGUAACCUGCCAUACACACACACACACACACACACACACGUAUAAAAUGUACAGCAAUGAUACCACACCUUUUUUUAAAAAGUGGUUUUUAAAAGGAGUUUGGGAGCAGCUUGUGGAAUCACUAUCAACAAAAUGACUUAAAAGUUGAUACUUUAGAUGGAGAGGGUGUAGAGAAAGGGAACCUCCUAUACUGUUGGUGGGAAUGUAAAUUGGUGCAGUCACUAUGGAGAACAUAGUGGAAGCUCCUUAAAAAAAUCAAUAGAGUUACCAUAUGAUCCAGCAAUCCCAUUCCUGGGCACAUAUCUAUAGAAAACUCUAAUUUUAAAAGAUACAUGCACCCCCAGUAUUCACAGCAGCGCUACUUACAAUAGCCAAGACAUGGAAGCAACCCAAGUGUCCAUCAACAGAUGAUGGAUAAAGAAGAUAUUUUACACACACACACACACACACACACAUCCACACAGGAAUGUUACUCAGCCAUAAAAAAGAAUGCAGUAAUGCCAUUUGCACCAAUAUGGAUGGACCUAGAGAUUAUCAAAUUAAGUUAAAUAAGUCAAGGAGAAAUAUCAUAUGGUAUCACUUACAAGUAAAAUCUAAAAUAUGAUAUAAAUGGCUAUUGUGAAUAGUGCUGCAGUGAACAUGUGGGUGCAUGUGUAUUUUUUAAGGAAAGUUUUGUCAGAUAUAUGCCCAAGAAUGGGAUUGCUGGGUCAUACGGUAGUUCUAUGUAUAGUUUUCUAAGGUACCGCCAUACUGUUCUCCAUAGUGGUUGCAAAGGGGAAGGGGAGGGAGUGGGAUGGACUAGGAGCUUGGGGUUAAUAGAUGCAGACUGUUGCCUUUGGAAUGGAUUAGCAAUGAGAUCCUGCUGUGUAGCACUGGGAACUCUUGUCUAGUCACUUAUGAUGGAACAUGUAAUGUGAGAAAAAAGAAUGUAUACACGUACAUGUAACUGGAUCACCAUGCUGUACAG